AUUGAACGCUGGCGGCAUGCCUUACACAUGCAAGUCGAACGGCAGCACGGGUGCUUGCACCUGGUGGCGAGUGGCGAACGGGUGAGUAAUAUAUCGGAACGUACCUUAUUGUGGGGGAUAACGCAGCGAAAGCUGUGCUAAUACCGCAUAAUCCCUAAGGGGGAAAGCGGGGGACCGUAAGGCCUCGCGCAAUUAGAGCGGCCGAUACCUGAUUAGCUAGUUGGUGAGGUAAAGGCUCACCAAGGCAACGAUCAGUAGCUGGUCUGAGAGGACGAUCAGCCACACUGGGACUGAGACACGGCCCAGACUCCUACGGGAGGCAGCAGUGGGGAAUUUUGGACAAUGGGGGCAACCCUGAUCCAGCAAUGCCGCGUGAGUGAAGAAGGCCUUCGGGUUGUUAAAGGACUCUUUUGUCUAGGGAAGAAACAAGCAGCUCUAACACAGUCUGCGAAUGACGGUACCUGAAGAAUAAGACACCGGCUAACUACGUG
rnacentral:rRNA from 1 species